rnacentral:sRNA from 2 species
CCUAGACGCUGGCCCGUCAUCUGGGGAGUAGCCAGCCGUUCCUUUUUCCGGAACGGGCCAUGCGUCAACAUAUUCGGCUGAGAGGCCGUGGCGCAUGGGGCGCGGCGCAAAGCCGCAUCGGGCGAGACCAAUGGCAUCGACGCGUU